UGUCCUUUAUAAAAGUAAACAAAUUCCUUUAUUUUCGAACUAUUUGAAUAUAUAUAUAGACCUAGGCUGAAAUACUAUGAAUAGCACCAAGCUAUUGGUGCUAUUAGGUUUUCAGCCCUUGGAUGAAAAAAUAUACGAUUAGGAUUAUGUGGGCCCUCUAGGGUUGAAUGAGUUAUUGGUUUAAUAAUAUAAUCUAACGGAUGAAAAUAAUCAAAGGAUUAAAUCUAACGGCGAAAAACUUGAUAGUACCAAACGCUUAGUGCUAUCGAUAGCAUCCCAGCCGAACUCUCUCUCUCUCUCUCGAGAUAUAUAUAUAUAGUCCGGCUAUGGUGCUUGUAAAAACACCAAGCACUUGGUACUUGUAACUUUUCCACUGUUAGAUUUAUCUUUUUGAUUAUUUCCACUUGUUAAAUUAUACUAGGGGACUCAACCAAUCACCCACUCAAUUCUAGGGGACCAUUAUCAUCCUAACCACACACCUCUUAAUCCAAGGGUUACAAACCUACAAGCACCAAUGACUUUGUACUUUUAAAAGUAUAGGAGUUCAAUUCUCUCUCUCUUUCUCUCUCUCUCUCUCUCUCUAUAUAUAUAUACUAGUCAUAUGCACGUUCAAUGCACGUAAGACUUAUUUGAAAAUAUCAAAUAAUUUUUUUUAAAAAAUAUAUAUUCAUUUAAAGUUAUUAAUGAAAUUGAAAU
rnacentral:lncRNA from 1 species